GCAGUGCGCGCAGGCGCUGAGAGCAGCUGGUCUGGGGUCGGGGCUGCUGGCGGUUUGGUCUGGCUCUAGGUCUGCCCGGGCCUUUCAGGAUUCGGCCGCCCGACCUGGGCCUGGGGCCGUGACAGAGGCGCUGGGGAGCUGUGGGGGCCACGAGGUCGUGCGGGGUGCGGACUCGACACCGCCCGCGGGCGGGCAGCUACUGCACCCGGCACAUCCCCUGGGUGGGCUGGUGCAGACCAGAAGAUCAGCGAGACGUCUCCGUAGCCCGAUGCCAGCCCGAGCCCGGAGAGCAGCUCCGGACUGGGCGGGGCAGGGAGAGGAGCCGCCGCGACGGUGGACACUGCCUCUCCGUCCCAGGGCGCUAGGCAGGGGUCCCCGUCCUCCCGGACGCGUGACCACGGGCCCCAGGCCUGGUAGGGCGUUAACACCUCGGAGGCGUCCGGACGCACACGCGCCGUGGGUUCUCCGUCACUGCAAUCCUCCAGGACUUUAACGCGGGGUUUUUUCCCCCUACUAGUCUGCCGUUGGGAAGGGUUUUAGCAUCUCACCAAGUUGGGCUCACGGUUCUUAACUCCCGAAGUUUUCUGUCGUUUAACUUCAUUUGGUUCUCAGCUUUUUGGAAUGACUGUGGAAUUGUACGGUGGGGUGGGAAUGCGGUUCUGGAAAGAAGGUCUUUGAGCGGAUAUUUCUCUCAUUAGAAAAUUCCUGCCGGUCCGCAAUGCAGAGUCCUAGUCCGCGGAGCCAGAGCGACGUAGAAGAUCUGGUAUGGGUCCUGAACUGCGAGGGAAAUGGUCCUCACUGAAAGAAACACUGUUCUAAACUCUUCGUUCCUGGAGAGCGGGUGCUCUGUUCACGUCCUGCCCCACCGUGUCCCCAAUCAAAGCUCCUGCCACGUUGCAGGUGCACCUCCAAUAAGCAGCUGUACCCCGGAUGAAGACCCAUCCUUUAUGUUCCUACCCAAUACUUAAGUCCUUGUGUGAGCAACAGGUCCUGAAGACAGAGUGAGACAGGGAUGGAGGCCACAGUCACAAUCCCUGCCAGGUGAGGCACAGUCAGGCCUCUCAGGCCCUCUCCACCAUCUGUUUUGGGAGCUGCCUCCCUGUUCCAGACCUGUGCUCCUCUCCCCCCUGGUACCUCCUCCAGGGAUGGAUCCUGAGACAGAACAACAGGGGACAGAGUCCAUGAGGCCCAGCUCUGAACACUAACAUUCAUGAUGAAUAUUGAAGUAAGGGAUGUUCUGUAUAAUGCUUCCCAACUACUUUUUGUAAACCAACAUUUAUUUAAAGACAUGAAUCUUGUAACUAGAGUAAGUUAAGCUCUUGGUACACAGAAAUAGAGAAUAUGUUUCAACUGUUCCUCCUUGUGAGACCAUUCAUAAGCACUCUGUUAGGGGACCUCCAUAGCCAGCUCCAACCAAUACUGUCCUUCCCUGUCCAGAAACACUGGAGAAGGAAGUUGUGAGCUUGGGAAAUUCACAUCCAAAUGAACCUCGUUUAUAAAUAUCCUGCAAGUUACACUUCUGUCCAGCUGCAGUUUGAAUGAUUGUAUAAUCACUAUAAUGGUGAAACCAAAUGAGAGAAAAUUCAGUAUCGGUUCAUAAGAAAAAGUUGAUGUUUCUGGAUUGAUAGGAGAUACUAGCUCAAUCCUGAGAUCACAUGACUUGUGAGACUUUACUAAUAAAAUUCAUGUUUAUGUUGUGUA